rnacentral:rRNA from 1 species
AACGUAGGUUCCGAGCGUUAUCCGGAUUUACUGGGCGUAAAGCGCGUUCAGGCGGUUUGGCAAGUCGGGCAUGAAAUCUCUCGGCUCAACCGGGAGAGGUUGUCCGAUACUGCUGGACUUGAGGGCAGUAGAGGGUGGUGGAAUUCCGGGUGUAGUGGUGAAAUGCGUAGAUAUCCGGAAGAACACCGGUGGCGAAGGCGGUCUGCUGGGCAGUUGCUGACACUGAGGCGCGACAGCGUGGGGAGCAAACAGG